rnacentral:rRNA from 1 species
CAGGUGGUCGGGUAGAGAAUACCAAGGCGCUUGAGAGAACUCGGGUGAAGGAACUAGGCAAAAUGGUACCGUAACUUCGGGAGAAGGUACGCUCUCGACGGUGAAGUCCCUUGCGGAUGGAGCUAUUGAGAGUCGCAGAUACCAGGUGGCUGCAACUGUUUAUUAAAAACACAGCACUGUGCAAAAUCGUAAGAUGACGUAUACGGUGUGACGCCUGCCCGGU